rnacentral:rRNA from 1 species
CAGAGAGUGUGUGCCAGCAGCCGCGGUAAUACGUAGGGAGCGAGCGUUGUCCGGAAUUACUGGGUGUAAAGGGAGCGUAGGCGGGAUCGCAAGUCAGAUGUGAAAACUAUGGGCUUAACCCAUAAACUGCAUUUGAAACUGUGGUUCUUGAGUGAAGUAGAGGUAAGCGGAAUUCCUAGUGUAGCGGUGAAAUGCGUAGAUAUUAGGAGGAACAUCAGUGGCGAAGGCGGCUUACUGGGCUUUAACUGACGCUGAGGCUCGAAAGCGUGGGGAGCAAACAGG